rnacentral:lncRNA from 1 species
CUCCCUUUUUGCGCAUAUAAAUACACCCCUCUUCGAAGCAUAUCGAUUCGUGCAAUUUGAGAGAGAGAGAAAGAGAGAGAUAACACAUACACCAUCCUCUUCUAUUCUACUACAUACUACAACUAACUUCUAUUAUAAUUAUUACUAAGACUCAUGGAGUUCAACCAUCAUUUCUGGGUUUUUAUUUGCGGUCUCAUAGGUAUAUUUCAUUAUUCAUUUCAUCCUUCUUCUUAUCUCAUAUGCAUAUGCAUGUUAGUGUUGCAAGUGUGAGGAGUGUUGAAGUUAGUCCCACAUCAAAGAAAACAAGGAAGAGUGAGGAGUUUAUAAGAUGAGAGACC